rnacentral:rRNA from 1 species
GAUGAACGCUGGCGGCGUGCCUAAUACAUGCAAGUCGAGCGAACGGACGAGAAGCUUGCUUCUCUGAUGUUAGCGGCGGACGGGUGAGUAACACGUGGAUAACCUACCUUUAAUACUGGGAUAACUUCGGGAAACCGGAGCUAAUACCGGAUAAUAUUUUGAACCGCAUGGUUCAAAAGAGAAAGACGGUCUUGCUGUCACUUAUAGAUGGAUCCGCGCUGCAUUAGCUAGUUGGUAAGGUAACGGCUUACCAAGGCAACGAUGCAUAGCCGACCUGAGAGGGUGAUCGGCCACACUGGAACUGAGACACGGUCCAGACUCCUACGGGAGGCAGUAGUAGGGAAUCUUCGACAAUGGGCGCAAGCCUGACGGAGCAACGCCGCGUGAGUGAUGAAGGUCUUCGGAUCGUAAAACUCUGUUAUUAGGGAAGAACAUCUGUGUAAGUAACUGUGCACAUCUUGACGGUACCUAAUCAGAAAGCCACGGCUAACUACGUG